rnacentral:tRNA from 1 species
GCCGAUGUAGCUCAGCUGGUAGAGCAACGCAUUCGUAAUGCGUAGGUCUGCGGUUCAAGUCCGCAUCUCGGCU